CCUACGAGUGGCAGCAGUCGAGAAUCAUUCACAAUGGGGGAAACCCUGAUGGUGCGACGCCGCGUGGGGGAAUGAAGGUCUUCGGAUUGUAAACCCCUGUCAUGUGGGAGCAAAUUAAAAAGAGAGUACCAAAAGAGGAAGAGACGGCUAACUCUGUGCCAGCAGCACCGGUAAUACAGAGGUCUCAAGAGUUUGUCGGAAUCACUGGGCGUAAAGCGUGCGGAGGCUGUGUCGUAAGUCGUGUGUGAAAGGCGCGGGCUCAACCCGCGGAGGGCACAUGAUACUGCGAGACUAGAGUAAUGGAGGGGUAACCGGAAUUCUCGGUGUAGCAGUGAAAUGCGUAGAGAU
rnacentral:rRNA from 1 species